GUUGCAGACCCGGCUGCCAGAAUUGCUGGAAAGUCGAUAUCUGUUUUCUUUUUGCAACGUUCCAUAGCUUUUCCGCAGGAAAAUUGUACGCGCGUCCCGUGAGAAGUCACUCGGAGGCGCACAGAGACUUCUCGUGAGACACGUGCACGCUACUUGACGAGGGUUCCCAGGAAGUUAGACGAUGUGAGCUUGAUUAUAAAUAGGCAUAUUUUCACAUCACCAAUUGGUGUAUAAUAUAAGUUCUAUGUAUUAGUAUCGUAUAUGUUCUAUAUGACGUCACAUUUGAAGCUUUCAUCUGGUAACCCUGUUGGCUACUGAUUGUACGAACUUUUCAAGAAUCCAACAUUCUAUGGAACAAUCAUUGUGAUAAGCUUUCUGCAAGAUAUCUACAAUAAAAAUUGUGAGAUGUAUCUAUAAUAAAUUAAUUUUUACAAAUUGUUGUUAAUA